AGCACAGUUUACUGCAGAAUACAUCAUCUCACAACAAAUAUGAACCAGUAACUAAACUGAAGUGGUGGUCACUCAACUCAUCUAUACUUCUCAACAAAAAUAACCACCAAUCAUGGAACAAUAAAUCAUUCCAAUCUAAUAUGUAAAGGAAGACACAACAGCAAUGGUUUUCGUUACUUUGAACACAUCUUCAUUCCAUCAAGCAGAGGACAAAUCCAAUCCAAACGGACCUGAUCAACCCAAAUCUAUGAUGAGAGGUCAGGGCACUCCGACAAGAUGGUCUUGCGUCCAGAGAGGGGUCAAUCUCGCCCGACGCUGGACUUCUAAAUACAACGCAUCCUCCUGCGAGAUGUGAGCAGUUAUCUCGAGGAGCGGAGUAAGGUAGGUAGUGGUUAUGCCCAUGAUCAGAAGGCUGGCGCACACAUGUCACUCUUGUAUNCGGGGGUGGCAUGUCGAACCAGUACUUGGUCAUUCGGCUAAUCCACCCAGCAUUGCUAGAAACGCCGGAUGUACAUAAGUAGUGAGUAAUUUUAUGAAUUAUCGCAUGUUCCCGGGUCGCGAUUCAAUUAAUAUCAGUUCAAAUCUAUAAAUAGUCAUUCUUUCAAGUUUA